CCCAAAUUAGUCAUAUGGAUAUGGAGUUUUGCCAACCUUUAGAAUAUUAAAUAGGUGACAAUAAAAUCUAAAUAUUUUUUUCUUUUUUCCUUGAUUGGUAAAACUGACUUGACUCCUACUCAUUUCUUUUAGUUUUUGUUUCUGGAAACUUCUUGCUGCUCACUUGAAGGCUCUUCAUCUCACUCAGGGACCCCUUGCAAAGUCCUGUGACAAAUGUUUUGUUUGGCUGCCUUGGGAGCCCCACCCAGUCCCCUUCUUUGUCACCCCUCACUGCAAGAGAUUGCAUGUGGUCACUUACAGAGAAGAGGAAUAAAUCAAAAUCAGAGCAUUGUUUUAUUGCAAAAAUCAUGCUGAAGUUUUCAAGUAAGAGAAGUCACAAUCCUCUGUGAGGUUUAACCAGGUCUCCCAAGACUUGUCUUGAUGAUCAAGCACAGUUUACAAGAAUCACAGAAAUCAGAAGCUUGAAAGUCCAGGGCUGGGGUCGUGUCCCAGCAGGAGUCUAUCCUAAGGCAUCCAGCCACAGAAGUCUGCAGGUAGUGGCAGCAAAGCAAGGAACCCCUCAGAGUGCAAUGAAAUUCACAGGAGCAAACAGACUUGAGAGGCCGAAAGUGAAUAAGGUAUGAGGAAGACUGGACCUGAGGGAAGGUGACAGUGACAAGAUAAACACAUGACCCUUCCUUCUAGCUUUUGGGCAAAUACAGUGUCACACUUCAUAGUUGAUAUUUUUCUCUAGAACUUCAGCAAAAUGUAUAGCUUGAAUAGAAAAAGAUAUUUUUUUUCCCCAGUAAGAUAUUCUAAGGCCAAAAUGUUGCACUGAUAUCUUAACAGGGAGGUAAUUUCGGCUUCUGCCCUUCCCUUCCUCAAAAUGGUGUGAAAUAAGAGGGCUGAUGUUAAAACGAGUGAGGAAGGAUGCAAGCAUUCCAUCUAAUAGUAUUUCUAGAGUCUGUUUUAGGGGAAGAAGAUGCAAAGCUCAUUCCUAAGCUCUGUCCCUUAAAGAUCUCACAGUGUGCUGCAAGGUGGACACCUUGUGGGGCUGGCCCUGGGCCCCGUCGCCACUGUCCAGCAUAGGCCAGACAUGGCAAAGGGGCUCAGGAUAUGUCUCCUAAAGACAGAGACAUUGUGACAAGGGAGGGCUGCAUGUGACCUGGGGUUCUGGGAAAUCAGAAACUCUCUAGGGCUUUCAUUAAUGCAGACAGCUGACUACUGUGUGCUGUCCCUUAGGAGUACUUAGAAAAAUGCCACCAACUUCGAUAGUGCCCAAAAGGGCCUCUGGUGUUUCAGUUCACAAAACACCAGGAGAGGGAUGGUAAAGUGGGAGAUGAAGGGAAUUGUGGCUGACAUCAUCAUUGAGCUUCUAAGCAGAUUUCCUUAUAAUAUUGUCACAUACUGGACAUUGAGGAACACAUCAAAGUUCCUCCUCAUCUACUAGACAACGGGCAAUUGCAGCUGCAGCAGCAUCAGGAGCCACCUCAGGGCCAAGCACUGACUCACGUAGUUUGAGCCAAGUCACAAUGCAGGGGGAGCCGUGGUUCUGUUCCUUAAGGCCCUUAGGGAGUACUGGGAAAGACAAUGAACCAUGCAACCUUGUGAGGCAUGAGCAGUACUGUGAUGACGUUAGGAAGAGAAAUAUAUCCUCUUUGGGCUCCCCCAGGAAAUAAAUGUCUGUCCGGGACAAAAAUCCCCGUGGAUUUUGUUCGUAUGUCUAGUAGAGCAUCUACCAUGUGUGAGGAUCAACGCCUGUGAGAUGGUGCGCUCCGGAAGAGCAGGGCCCAUGUCCUAUGUGUUUUUAUAUCCCCUGCUCCUAGCAUUUUCUGGAACAUCACGGGGUCUCCACACUGUGCUUGCUUAAUGAAUAAAUGACAAUCUUGUAAGUGCUGAUAAUAGGAAGCCCUGCAAACCCGGAGAACUCAGAAACUCUUUCAU